AUUGAACGCUGGCGGCAGGCCUAACACAUGCAAGUCGAACGAGUGGCGGACGGGUGAGUUAGGUCUGGGCCACUGCCUGAUGGAGGGGGAUCACAACUGGAAACGAUUACUAAUACCGCAUACCAUCGGAUGUGCCCAGUUGGGAUUAGCUAGUGGGUGGGGUAAAGGCUCACCUAGGCGACGAUCCCUAGCUGGUCUGAGAGGAUGAUCAGCCACACUGGAACUGAGACACGGUCCAGACUCCUACGGGAGGCAGCAGUGGGGAAUAUUGCACAAUGGGCGCAAGCCUGAUGCAGCCAUGCCGCGUGUAUGAAGAAGGCCUUCGGGUUGUAAAGUACUUUCAGCUGGGAGGCGUUACCCGCAGAAGAAGCACCGGCUAACUCCGUGCCAGCAGCCGCGGUAAUUC
rnacentral:rRNA from 1 species